AUUUAAUUUGACAAUUUAUAGGCAAUUUAUGCUGAAAUUUAUUCAGCUCGUCUUCCUUGAAUGAAGCCCAAUGGCUUUAUAGUGUCAAACCAUAAUAUGCAAUUGUAAUAACAGCCAGAUCCUUGCAUUACUGAAAUGCUGUGUUUUUCUGAAGGGCCCCACUGUCGCUCUGCGGCCCCUAAAUAUUUGGACAUGCCAUUUGAUUUACUGGAGCUGUUUUCACAGUCAGAGUCUCUCUCUUUUUUUCCAGUGACCUUCAGCUUCAGUGUAGCUCUUGCUGUUUUCUGUCCUCAAAGCCAAACAAUCAGCUCGACUCAGGAGCGUCUGAACGCAGAGGAGAGUGAGGGGAUGUGCCCCGCACUUGAACUCGGGAAGGAUUUUUUUUUCGAUUGUGAAGCCCGUGGCACCUGUACCAACCGCAGGACCAUCUGCUUGGCAUUCAGCGUCCAAUAACACAUUUCUGGGAUAAACUCCCUCACACACACACACACACACACACACACACUCAGGCAGAGGUUGGUGGGAGGUGGAGAGGCUGCGGGCCGACCGCUGGUGAAGAAUGACAGAGGUCUGUUAGACACAUUGUUUUAAUUGCAAUGUGAAGAUGCCCCAGCUGGGCUCUGGGAGGAGCGGGACGGUUAUCUGGGGAGGUCGGGAUGGGAAUUUUAGGGGGGAAUUCUGUCCAGAGGAAUGUGCUGUAACCUGAUCUGUAAAUGAAGAGAAUCAAAGAGUAUUAAGAGCGUUUUGCUGGCCCUCACUGCCCCGCGGCCGAGGCCACAGGUGUUUGGCAAAUACUGUGUUUUGUGAAGGAAAAGCUGCAGGCUGUGUUUAUGUCAUCAUUCCUGCCUGCGACUCACUCUCUCCCCUGCAAACUGGAAAACUGUAGGAAUUCAAUGAAAUACACUUGCUGUUCCUUCAAACUCCCUUUCCUCACAUUUUCUUGCAUUUUUCUGUACUUGACUUUUGGGACAGAAUGUCCUUUCUUCAGAACAGCUCUCUCUCUUUCAUCU
ensembl:lncRNA